rnacentral:ncRNA from 2 species
UGAUAUCUGGGCAAUGGAGCUUGCCAUUAACCGCCAUUACAUAUAAUAAAAGGCUGAUAGCUCCUACUUUCCU